rnacentral:lncRNA from 1 species
CAUUGAUUUCUAUUUACUUAAACUAAAGUUAUUGUGCGAAAACCAAGAAUAAUGCUUAUUUCUGCCCUUUUUUGGCCCCUAAUUCCUAAACUGUUGAAACCAAAACUCCCAAAAUCAAUCCCAACCGUUCUUUUGUGGUCAUAAACCUUGUGUCAAAAUUUCAUAGAUUUCUAUUAACUUAAACUAAAGUUAUAGUGCGAAAACCAAGAAAAUGCUUAUUUGGGCCCUUUU